rnacentral:rRNA from 1 species
AUACGGAGGAUCCGAGCGUUAUCCGGAUUUAUUGGGUUUAAAGGGAGCGUAGGUGGACAGUUAAGUCAGUUGUGAAAGUUUGCGGCUCAACCGUAAAAUUGCAGUUGAUACUGGCUGUCUUGAGUACAGUAGAGGUGGGCGGAAUUUGUGGUGUAGCGGUGAAAUGCUUAGAUAUCACGAAGAACUCCGAUUGCGAAGGCAGCUCACUGGACUGCAACUGACACUGAUGCUCGAAAGUGUGGGUAUCAAACAGGAUUAGAUACCCUGGUAGUCCACACAGUAAACGAUGAAUACUCGCUGUUUGCGAUAUACAGUAAGCGGCCAAGCGAAAGCAUUAAGUAUUCCACCUGGGGAGUACGCCGGCAACGGUGAAACUCAAAUGAAUCGACGGGG